UCUCCCUGGAAAUGGAUGAAGAAUCACCUCGGUGGUGGUAAUUUUUUUUAUCAGUCAGAGGCAGAGCAGUUGACAGUCCUUUGUUCAUCUUAGCCUGAAGCCUGACUUGGUGGCCAAAGCUGUUUUGUACCUAGGACACAUAA